GCAGAGUAGGAAUUUGUGCGUUAAGUGCCGCCCGGACGGGGAGUUGCCGGGGGGACGAAAAGAUUCUCUUGCGGUACAAAUUUCGCAUCCCGCUGC
rnacentral:ncRNA from 1 species